rnacentral:lncRNA from 1 species
AUGCAACCAGCGGAACAGCACGCGACCCUGCUUAUCGUUACACAACACAGCUCUACAGAGCUAAACUGUGUGAAACAACUUAAGCAGACUGACCAACUAAAUCCAGGCGAAGCACAAACAGCGUUUCACUCACCCUUUAAGAGGAGGCCGUUCUGCUGUGUGAGACCAGACCGACGCUCACACUGGAGGAAUCCCCCAGUCUCUCAUGACUCUGCGCGUCAAACAGCCCAACUGCAGAGCUUGUUGACAGGAACCCGUCCCCACCUACUCUACCUUUCUGUGUCGCUCUCGUCGCUGGACACCACUUCCUCCAGAGCGGCCUGCAGGUCCACGAUGCGGCGAAUGGACGUCUCCAGGUCGGCCUGCAGCGUGUGUCUGACGGCGCUCAGCUCCUCCACCUGCAUUUCCUGCCAGAUUAGAGGACAUUUGUUGACGCGAGGGCGAAUAACAAGCUGACCUUCACCAGGGCGGCCGCGCGUUGUCAUCCCCCGACUACCUGUUAGGACCCCGGGGCCCAAUCCGCCACAGCAAUUACCCUCAGUGUAGCUCAUAUUACCUCAUCAGUCAAACAGUGGCGUGUCCUCUCUCGCAGCCGUGGUGCUGAUGCUCUGACCAGGUUAUUUAGAAGAAAAAAACUGCCGAGCACUGACAUUGGGAGAGAACGGAGUGGUUUAUUAAUUCCUCCGUCUAUCCAGCAUCCUGUCUCUUUCUCACAAACACACACACAAGCUUUCAAAGUUAUUGGCUUAGAGGAGACGAGGGGUGUGGGUGCAGCAGUUGUCAUAGAGACACAUAAGCAUGUAUGAAUAUGUGUGUGUGCGUGUGUGUGUUUCCAUAACCUUGAAGAGACAAUGAGGAUUAAUCACAGGCACAGAGACAGAGCAGGGUGAGGGGGAGAUGACGUUAAGACGGCGGGUGCGUGUGUGUGCGUGUGUGUGUGGAUGAAGACGUCUCACACCAAGCCUGUGUGUGUUGGGACGUUGGUAAAGCAUGAGCGGCGUUCGGCUAAUAACUGAAUAAUUACUGCUCGACUCGGUGAGCAAGACGAUGAUGGAGUCUAUGAAUCGACUGACAUCUUCAGAGCAAACGAUAUGUUUGGUAAACAAGUGAUGAUUUAAUUCCAUAAAUAUUCUUGAAACUCUGCCUCCAGUACGCAAAGUCCUUUAAGAUAUUAAGUAUUUAAAAGUUUCUCUGCCUGUGUUUGUUACUGUUUAUGGUGUCGGCUCCUUGGUAAUAACCAUUUAAUGAUACUGUGAAGAUAUUUGUGCGUUGAAUCCUCGUUUGCCUUCGUGCUGCUAUGAUCAAGCUUGAGCAGCAAUGAAAGUGAUGUUUUCUAAUGUUCCAGAUGAAACGCCAGCUGUUGUUUUUGCUAAUGAGAACAGCGGAGACCUGGCUGCGAGACGCGUGGCGUGCUCCCCAUCGUAGCCCGGAGGAAGCGCUCUCAGCUGGGCGUUUAGAGGCAGCGGCCUUGGAAGCGCCGCCUCCCGGCCUGGAUGUGAGUCACAUCUGCGGGGGUUUGGGUUUGAAGCCCCAAGGAGGCGCCGGAGCAGAGAUCUGUCUGAAGGUGGCAGGGGUGCCGGUGAAUUGCAGAGCUGAAGCACUGUCCCUGUAAUUACCUCCACUUCUGGGCGAAAGGGUGUCGUUUGUGUCUAAGUGAUGAAACGCAGAGGGUGGUUGCGUUUUGUGCGCUGCUUGUUCUUGGCAAGGUGCAGCGACGCUACAGUCCCAUUUAUUUAUGCCUUUACUGUUUAAACAUCGUAUUGCUUCCUAUUUCUUCCCUCUAAGGCUCGGAUCUGUUCCCUUAGUCUCUAACUCAUCUUUACACCCCCACCCUGACAGAAAUACCCGUGUGGUUGCACUUGCGACUUGUGCAACCUAAGAUCUUCAACCUCUUUGUACUAAAACAGUUCUAAUUAAAUUCUGAGCGAUGCUGAUCCCGAUAAGGAUGUUUUGGUGCCAUGUCCCCUCUGAGCCCUCUCAGCAGCAAACUAAAGCUUGUUUAUUUACUUUCCUUUAUUCCUUAUGAGAACAGAUGCACUUCCUCUGUUCUACCUCUAUUCUACAGUGCUGCUACUGACACUUUGAAAGAGAGAGAGUUUGCUGAAUAAAAACAUGAUGGAGAGCA